UGAGCACAUCUAUGUGUAUGUGGCACGGAGGCCAGCAUCUUUAACAAUUUUUGCAUUAAUAAAACAAAUCUUAAGAAUUACGUGCUUUGUUAUUGCUCGUAAACCUACGGUAACGAACAACAUUUUUUCCAUAUUUUCGACUUCUCGCGUACGACCAUCUCGUCCAAGUUGCGCCAUGAAUGUUGGGAACCACUUAGACACACAACUUACAUGGAAGCAAUACACUAAGUCAAUUAUAGACAAAAUACCCAUAAAAAGAAAACAGAUGUACUGGCUAACUAGUCGCAACUCUAAACUCAGCAUGGAAAAUAAACUAAAAAUCUUUAAAACGAUAAUAAACCAAUUUGCACGUACGGAAUACCACUAUGAGGCACAGCAGCAAUGAGUCACAUAAAUAAACUAGAGGCGCCACAAUCGAAGAUACUCGGAACAAUAGCCAACGUCCCAUGAUAUGUCAGAAACGAGGAUAUACGCAAAGACUUAAAAAUGCCAACUAUCAGAGAAGAAAUCGGUAGGGACGCAAAAAAAUAUAAGAAAAGAACGGCAACACAUCCAAAGCAGCUGGCUGUUGAAACGAGCGAAACUCUCAUAAAAAGAAGACUAAAGAGAAAAUACCCCACUGGUCUCACUAAAGAAAUAAAAUAGGCAAACUCGAAGAUGGUAUCCCGCUGGGGGUAAACAUCCACAUGUCAUUUAGCAAUUAAGCUAGAAAAAUUUACCGAAUGUCCAGCUGGACAAAUUAAAUAAUAAUAAUAAAAAAAAAAGAAUGCUGGGACACUCUGUAUAUCGUAGAUGACUCACAGAAUAAGUAGGAAAUAUUCCAAGCUCGUAUAAACCAGCGUUGGACAAAGUUUCACUCGAAUAACGAACGAAGAUGUUCGAAAUGGUUCCCCUGGAUUUCAAUACAGGCUGGCCAAGCCCAUACAUCAGGCGCAUGUCUGCUAUUUCUUCAUUGGAAUAACGCACAUUGGAAUAAUUCACGCUAUUCAUACACAACGCGACGUAUUUCAAUAAUUUCAAUCCGCACUGUUCUCGUGACUCGUACGUACAUAGAUACUGUCGAUAAGAGAUGGCGUUUGUAAAAUUCGACUGCAAUAUUGGCCGAAGGAUAUCAAGUUUUGUUUGUAAACAGUUCGGCAAGAGGAAUCGAGAAACACAACAUACGUCUAUCGAACUGCGAAACCAAAUCCACGUGCUGAAGCCAUUUUUAAACAAAAAAAAAAAAAAAAAAAAAAUCUGGUGAAAAUAAAUGCAAAACGAUGUUGAUACUUUGAGGAAUCAAUUGGAAAUUAAUUGUAUCUAUAAAAUUGAUACGUUCUCAUCAACUUUCCAUUUUUAGAAUAUGAAUAUUUU